GAUGAACGCUGGCGGCGUGCCUAAUACAUGCAAGUCGAGCGAACGGACGAGAAGCUUGCUUUUCUGAUGUUAGCGGCGGACGGGUGAGUAACACGUGGAUAACCUACCUAUAAGACUGGGAUAACUUCGGGAAGCCGGAGCUAAUACCGGAUAAUAUUUUGAACCGCAUGGUUCAAAAGUGAAAGACGGUCUUGCUGUCACUUAUAGAUGGAUCCGCGCUGCAUUAGCUAGUUGGUAAGGUAACGGCUUACCAAGGCAACGAUGCAUAGCCGACCUGAGAGGGUGAUCGGCCACACUGGAACUGAGACACGGUCCAGACUCCUACGGGGGGCAGCAGUAGGGAAUCUUCCGCAAUGGGCGAAAGCCUGACGGAGCAACGCCGCGUGAGUGAUGAAGGUCUUCGGAUCGUAAAACUCUGUUAUUAGGGAAGAACAUAUGUGUAAGUAACUGUGCACAUCUUGACGGUACCUAAUCAGAAAGCCACGGCUAACUACGUG
rnacentral:rRNA from 1 species